rnacentral:rRNA from 1 species
ACACAUGCAAGUCAAAGGAAAGCGGCUUCGGCCGGGAGUACUCGGCGCAAGGGUGAGUAAUGUAUAGGUAAUCUGCCCUUUGGACUGGGAUAACCCCGAGAAAUCGGGGACGAUACCARAUGAUGCAGCGGAACCGCAUGGUUAUGUUGUUAAAGAUUUAUCGCCAAAGGAUGAACCUAUAUCCCAUCAGGUAGUUGGUAAGGUAACGGCUUACCAAGCCUACGACGGGUAGCUGGUCUGAGAGGAUGAUCAGCCACAUUGGAACUGAGACACGGUCCAGACUCCUACGGGAGGCAGCAGUGAGGAAUAUUGCGCAAUGGGCGAAAGCCUGACGCAGCAACGCCGCGUGGAUGAUGAAGUUCUUCGGAAUGUAAAGUCCUUUUGUGGAGGAAGAAUAUCCCGGUUUACCGGGACUGACGGUACUCUACGAAUAAGCCACGGCUAACUCUGUG